GAUGAAAAAGUAGGUUUGUGUGGGAGGAGCUCAAGGUUUUGUCAGCUUCAGCAGAAGAAAUCAUUGAGAAACACUGACUUACCUUCAUUGAGGAGUCUGAACUCAAACUACAGAAACAUGUUACUCAUCUCUUCUGUUUUAGUUUUUAUCCUCAGUUACUGUGAAUCUAAUGGGAAUAUCAUCAGACCAAACCAGCCAUCUGCAGUUUUAACUGAAGGAAGCAGCACUGCUCUGUCCUGUUCAUAUGAUGGAUUUGUUAACAGUCUCCACUGGUAUCGACAGAAGCCUGGAUCAAAACCAGAGUUUCUGCUGCUGAUUGAUGAGUCUUCUAAGUAUGUCAACAAAGCUGCUGAUCAAUUUCUCUCGCAUAUGUCCAUCAGACUCCAUGAUAACAAAAGUGUGGAUCUGGAGAUCUCCUCUGCUGCUGUAUCAGACUCUGCUCUGUAUUACUGUGCUCUGCAGCCCACAGUGACAGGAAAACAAACUACACUGUACAAAAACUUGUUUCUUAUUUAAGUCAUAUUUGUAUAAG